rnacentral:rRNA from 1 species
UGGCGGCGUGGAUAAGACAUGCAAGUCGAGCGCUGAUUUCAGGGUAGCAAUAUUCUGGAGUCGGAGCGGCGCAAGGGUGCGUAACACGUGGGUAAUCUGCCAUGAAGUCUGGAAUAACUUGCUGAAAGGCGAGCUAAUACCGGAUGUGACAGCUGGAGGGCAUCCUCUGGUUGUUAAAGUUGGGGACCGUAAGGCCUGACGCUUCUUGAUGAACCCGCGGCCUAUCAGCUAGUUGGUGAGGUAACGGCUCACCAAGGCUAAGACGGGUAGCUGGUCUGAGAGGACGACCAGCCACACUGGAACUGAGACACGGUCCAGACACCUACGGGUGGCAGCAGUCGAGAAUUUUUCACAAUGGGCGCAAGCCUGAUGGAGCGACGCCGCGUGGGGGAUGAAUGGCUUCGGCCCGUAAACCCCUGUCAUUCGCGAUCAAACCUUGUUAUUUAAAAGAUGACGAGCUGAUAGUAGCGGAAGAGGAAGGGACGGCUAACUCUGUGCCAGCAGCCGCGGUAAUACAGAGGUCCCAAGCGUUGUUCGGAUUCACUGGGCGUAAAGGGUGCGUAGGUGGUGAGGUAAGUCGGAUGUGAAAUCUCGGAGCUCAACUCCGAAAUGGCAUUGGAAACUACCUUGCUCGAGGAAUGGAGGGGGGACUGGAAUUCUCGGUGUAGCA